GUGAGGAAUAUUGGUCAAUGGGCGAGAGCCUGAACCAGCCAAGUCGCGUGAAGGAAGAAGGAUCUAUGGUUCGUAAACUUCUUUUGCAGGGGAAUAAAGUGCGGGACGUGUCCUGUUUUGUAUGUACCCUGAGAAUAAGGAUCGGCUAACUCCGUGCCAGCAGCCGCGGUAAUACGGAGGAUCCGAGCGUUAUCCGGAUUUAUUGGGUUUAAAGGGUGCGUAGGUGGUUUGAUAAGUCAGCGGUGAAAGUUUGCAGCUUAACUGUAAAAAUGCCGUUGAAACUGUCGGACUUGAGUGUAAAUGAGGUAGGCGGAAUGCGUGGUGUAGCGGUGAAAUGCAUAGAUAUCACGCAGAACUCCGAUUGCGAAGGCAGCUUACUAAGCUACAACUGACACUGAAGCACGAAAGCGUGGGGAUCAAACAGGAUUAGAAACCCGAGUAGUCC
rnacentral:rRNA from 1 species